GGCGACGUACCCAAGUGGCUAAGGGAGCAGUCUGCAAAACUGCGAUUCAUCGGUUCGAAUCCGAUCGUCGCCUCCA
rnacentral:tRNA from 1 species